AGUCGAACGGGUUAAGACCCGUGGCGAAUAGCUCAGUAACACGUAGAUAAACUACCCUAUGGACUGUGAUAACCUCGGAAAACUGAGGGUAAUAACAGAUAGCACUCCUACGCUGGAAUGCAGUGAGUACGAAAUGCUCCGGUGCCAUAGGAUGUGACUGCGGCCGAUUAGGUAGACGGUGGGGUAACGGCCCACCGUGCCGAUAAUCGGUACGGGUGGUGAGAGCCAGAGCCCGGAGAUGGAAUCUGAGACAAGAUUCCAGGCCCUAUGGGGCGCAGCAGGCGCGAAAACUUUACAAUGCGCGAAAGCGCGAUAAGGGGACCCCGAGUGCGAGGGCAUAACGUCCUCGCUUUUGUAUAUCGUAAGAAGAUACACGAAUAAGGGCUGGGCAAGACCGGUGCCAGCCGCCGCGGUAAUACCGGCAGCUCGAGUGAUGAUCACUAUUAUUGGGCCUAAAGCGUCCGUAGCCGGUCGAACAAGUCCUUCGGUAAAUCCACUCGCUCAACGAGUGGGCUCUCGAGGGAAACUGUUCGACUUGGGGCCGGGAGAUCUGAGGGGUACGUCUAGGGUAGGAGUGAAAUCCUGUAAUCCUAGACGGACCGCCGGUGGCGAAAGCGCCUCAGAAGAACGGACCCGACGGUCAAGGGACGAAAGCUAGGGUCUCGAACCGGAUUUAGAUACCCGGGUAGUCCUA
rnacentral:rRNA from 1 species